CGCGUAGGCGGCGCGGGAAGUCGUCGGUGAAAGCUCAGGGCUCAACUCUGAGUCGGCCGGUGAUACUCUCGUGCUUGAGCACUGUAGAGGCAGGUGGAAUUCCGGGUGUAGCGGUGGAAUGCGUAGAGAUCCGGAAGAACACCGGUGGCGAAGGCGGCCUGCUGGGCAGUAGCUGACGCUGAUGCGCGACAGCGUGGGGAGCAAACA
rnacentral:rRNA from 1 species